CAAUAGCGUAUAUUAAAGUUGUUGCAGUUAAAAAGCUCGUAGUUGGAUUUGUGGCGUGCGGUAUGUUCCGGGCACUUGUUGUCUGAGUAACCUGCCGCUGCCAUCCUUGGGUGGAACCUGUGUGGCAUUAGGUUGUCGUGCAGGGGAUGCCCAUCAUUUACUGUGAAAAAAUUAGAGUGUUCAAAGCAGGCUUAUGCCGUUGAAUAUAUUAGCAUGGAAUAAUGAGAUAGGACUUUUUUGCUAUUUUGUUGGUUUGCGCAAAGAGGUAAUGAUUAAUAGGGACAGUUGGGGGUAUUCGUAUUCCAUUGUCAGAGGUGAAAUUCUUGGAUUUUUGGAAGACGAACUACUGCGAAAGCAUUUACCAAGGAUGUUUUCAUUAA
rnacentral:rRNA from 1 species